AGCCAGCCAGGCAUGCCUGGUUUUACACUUGCUUUGGUCAUAAAGAUGAGAAACUCAUUGGCUGUGUGGGGCUGAAAGAGCUACAGGUAUCAAAGGAAGAACCCAGUUGAAUCUAUAUCUGAAAAGAGAAUCUCCUAUAUCUAAGAACUUCGUUGGUGAUGCAAGUCCAUUGCAUUGACUCUCCAGCAGCUUUUGGGUAGAUAUCAAACAUUCCAACUUUUAUGCUUAAAGGUAUAACAUAUCUCUCCCCACAGUGCUGUCACUAUUAGAAGCAGUUAUGAAGUAUUAAAGAUUUACACAUUUCUCAA